rnacentral:lncRNA from 1 species
AACUUGUCACCAUUAGCCCUCUACAUAAUUCCAUAGUGCCAGAACGUAAAAUGGGUCUUGGUCUUUCACUUAAACAUAACAUUCCAAAGUGCCAGAACGUAGAAUGGGUCCUGGUCUUUCUCUUACAUGGUGCCAGCGAACGUAGAAUGGGUCCCACUGGUCUUUCAUUCCGUACAGUACAUAUCAUAUCAUCACAUCAUAGAUUGAGGGCU